GGAAGUCGCGUCACGGCCGCUUCCGGCGCGGCGGCUCCAAGAUGGCGGCGCUGGCGCUGAGGGGGGUGGGGCGGCGCUGCCUCCUGGCCCGGCUGGGACCCGGCCUGUCCCUGCAGCAUGUUGUCCCGAUGGGAACCACGGCCAGGGAGGAGAUGAGUCGCUUCUGGGAGAAGAACACCAGGUCCAACCGGCCCCUGUCCCCUCAUGUCACCAUCUACAAGUGAGACUCCCCUGG